CCUGACAUGGCUCAUACAAGAUCGCUGAGCCUGGUUACAAAACGACGGGCUCUAUUAACCCUCUCACAGCCAUCAGACUAAGAUGUCCAAAGUUCUGUUUUAGAAGGGUCUAAGAAUUUUCUGGAUCUUCCUUUAAAACGUUGGUCAUGACAGAUGAACUGCAUCUACUAUUACAGAAGCCAAUAUUCACACUGAAAUACAUUUCAACAAAGCUUCAGGCCAUCUCUGUUAUAUAGCAAAAUGCCCGGUUAAUGCACUGGUCUAUUAGCAACAAGUGUCCUGGCAGCUGUUCCAGAGAAGAAAAAUUCUUUGGCAGACCCUAAAAUGGGCAUAGGUCCUAAGACAUCUCCUUUCUCAACCUUGGACCAACACCUUUUUCCAGGAUAAGAGGUUGGCACAAAAAGAUAUUUAGAAGUUUUUAGGAGACGAUCUUGCCAGUGCUUCCUCUCCAGAUGUCUAUGAGUGUUGAAUCACCUGCCUCUAUUACUCUAGUGUUCUUUACAUCCUGAACAAACACAUGGAAUCACAAAUCACAAAGAGCUUUUCCAUUCCUUCAAAAUUACUGAGGAUCACUGACCAAGAUUGCCCAUGGCAAAAGAGAACAGUGGUAAUAAGGUUGGCAGAACCCAGGAAAGGAAAAGUCCACCUCUACCCUCCAGUGGCCUAGCGGAAGAGAAAGGAUCACUCAAAGUAGAGAUAAGUAAGAAAGCAACACAUAACAAAGCAACAAAAAGAUUUCAAGUUUCCUCACUUCACACGUGUUUGACUAGGAUUCCAAUUAAAAUUCCUUGAGACAUAUGCAGAAAACUCUGUUAUGAUGAAAGCACAGAGGGAAAAGCACAGCAAGGUGAAGAAUGAUUUGAGUCCCUGAACCUCUACAUUGUUCACAUGAUAAAGGAUACUUAAGACUUCAAAAGCCACUGUCAUUAACUAAGAAGAGUGUGUACCCACAGGACCUGCAGAAGAUUCAAAAGGCAUUAAAACACCAUUCCCUGGAGUUA